CAGAAAGCAGAGCUGCUGGAGGAGCACUGAGGCGAUCCGGGCCGGCUGCUUCCGUUUUACUCCUGAACCAGGAAGCAAGGCCAUUAGGAGAGCACGUGGCCAAGGAGUCAUCUGGACGAAUGGAGCGCUGGCCCAGGUGGAGAAAGGGACUCAGGUUUCCUGGUGCGACAGGGGCCCGGUCUCUCUGUUCAUAGCUGCCGGGCACUAAUUGCUCCCUGCUGUCUGCCUGGUUGCAGGGAGAGGGAAGGGAGACCAGGUGAGGUCUAUGAAACACUGCCACGGGCAGAAGCAGGUGGAGACAGCGGCUCAGGGAAGGGCUCGGAGGGAAAAGGUGAGGGUCAGAGGACCAUAGGCCCCAAGUGCCUGUGGGUGACUGGUUCUGAUGAUGCUAGAGGGAGCAGACUGAGGAAGAAUCGGAUGUGUGGAGAAGACGGCAGUGCCACAAAGAGGAUUUUCCGUGUAGCUACUGACCAUGGACAAGACUAGAUGAGGACCAGGUUGUGUGUGAUGAGAGCUCGGGGCUGUGCCGUAAAUGGAAGGAGGCACCAUGAGUAUGCGCCAGAGCGAGGGUUUUGGAGCUGAGCCCUGUGGGCAGCUGCUUUUUCCAGAGAAGCUGGAAAAGGCAGGACGGGGUUUCUCUCCCGAGCCCCCAGAAGGACCCUAGCCUGUCAGCACCUCUAUUUUUAGCCCUGGGCCCCUCAUUUUGGAUGUCCAACCUCCAGAACGGUUCAGAAGUGAGUUAAUUUAAGGAAGAACAGUUGCCCACAGCUGCAGCAAACACCCUGCGGGAACAGAGCCCCUGCAGAGGGUGUGGACCUGUGCAGGUGACUGCCUUAGCUCCGUGGUCUGCAAAUGCUCUGGGACCCUGUGGCAGUGGCUCUAAGUCCACAGUGACAAUCACAACACAUCAGCUUCUGACCUGCCCAAGUGUGACAGUCCCGCCCUAGCCAAGGCUGGCUUGUUCAGACAGAUGUCUUGGCUACUGAAUGUAAACCAAAAAUAGAAGAACAGUGAGUCCCAGUUCUUGGAAGAAAUCAACUUCUUUCAUCUUGGCUACAUCGGUGCUGGAAAGCCAUGGCUGUCCUUUGGUUAAUGUGUAUGGAGGUCAUCUACCAGGACUUGGCAGCUCUGAGACACCAGCCUGCAUUUAGGGUCCUGUGAGUAGGAACUCUGAAUUCUAGCCAUCACAGUGCAGGCGGGUUCUAUUGUUUCAAGUCAAAAUCACCUAAGAGCUCAUUUAUUUACAAUACAGUUCUCCUCAGUGACAAAACCCAGACUCAGGGCUGAAGAAAGUAAGCAUUAUUGUCCAGCAAGAAAAAAAAUAUUCUUCUUCCACAAAGCCAUCCUCUUUCUUUGCCCCGAGAUGCUUUCUCCCACUAGAUAGGUGCCUGCCAGGCUCAGAGGGGGUGUUUUUUUGGUUUGUUUCCUGGAAUGAUUAAUACAAUUUUUCAACAAUACACCAUUUCUCUUAAGGGAAAAGAAAUCAACAUAUAUGUAAAAAGAGACACUUAAAAAGAUUUCUGACCAUUUAUAAAUAUUUUCUAACUCCAAUAGAGGUACAAUAUUUUGAGGGCAGAUAAAAAGCAUAAAAAUACAGG
rnacentral:lncRNA from 1 species